rnacentral:rRNA from 1 species
CCUACGGGAGGCAGCAGUGAGGAAUAUUGGUCAAUGGACGAGAGUCUGAACCAGCCAAGUAGCGUGAAGGAUGACUGCCCUAUGGGUUGUAAACUUCUUUUAUAAAGGAAUAAAACGAGGCACGUGUGCCUAUUUGCAUGUACCUUAUGAAUAAGGAUCGGCUAACUCCGUGCCAGCAGCCGCGGUAAUACGGAGGAUGCGAGCGUUAUCCGGAUUUAUUGGGUUUAAAGGGAGCGUAGGUGGUUUGUUAAGUCAGUUGUGAAAGUUUGUGGCUCAACCGUAAAAUUGCAGUUGAUACUGGCAGUCUUGAGUGCAGUUGAGGUAGGCGGAAUUCGUGGUGUAGCGGUGAAAUGCAUAGAUAUCACGAAGAACCCCGAUUGCGAAGGCAGCUUACUAAGCUAUAACUGACAUUGAUGCUCGAAAGUGUGGGUAUCAAACAGGAUUAGAUACCCGUGUAGUC